UACGUAGGGUCCGAGCGUUGUCCGGAGUUACUGGGCGUAAAGGGUGCGUAGGCGGCGGGGCAAGUCAGGUGUGAAAUCCCGGAGCUUAACUCCGGAACUGCACUUGAUACUGCUUUGCUAGAGUACUGGAGAGGAGACUGGAAUUUACGGUGUAGCAGUGAAAUGCGUAGAUAUCGUAAGGAAGACCAGUGGCGAAGGCGAGUCUCUGGACAGUUACUGACGCUGAGGCACGAAGGCCAGGGGAGCAAACGGG
rnacentral:rRNA from 1 species